CAGGACGAACGCUGGCGGCGUGCUUAACACAUGCAAGUCGAACGAAGCACUUUAUUUGAUUUCCUUCGGGACUGAUUAUUUUGUGACUGAGUGGCGGACGGGUGAGUAACGCGUGGGUAACCUGCCUUGUACAGGGGGAUAACAGUUGGAAACGGCUGCUAAUACCGCAUAAGCGCACAGCAUCGCAUGAUGCAGUGCGAAAAACUCCGGUGGUAUAAGAUGGACCCGCGUUGGAUUAGCUAGUUGGUGAGGUAACGGCCCACCAAGGCGACGAUCCAUAGCCGACCUGAGAGGGUGACCGGCCACAUUGGGACUGAGACACGGCCCAAACUCCUACGGGAGGCAGCAGUAGG
rnacentral:rRNA from 1 species